AAAGCCUGACGCAGCAACGCCGCGUGGAGGAUGAAGGUCUUCGGAUCGUAAACUCCUGUCAGUGGGGACGAAUGCUUCGAAAGAAGUUUGACUGUACCCGCUGAGGAAGCCACGGCUAACUCCGUGCCAGCAGCCGCGGUAAUACGGAGGUGGCAAGCGUUGUUCGGAAUUACUGGGCGUAAAGGGCGCGUAGGCGGCUUGGCAAGUCAGAUGUGAAAGCCCCGGGCUUAACUCGGGAAUUGCAUCUGAAACUGCUUUGCUUGAGUCCUGGAUGGGAUAGUGGAAUUCCCAGUGUAGCGGUGAAAUGCGUAGAUAUUGGGAGGAACACCUGCGGCGAAGGCGGCUAUCUGGACAGUGACUGACGCUGAGGCGCGAAAGCUAGGGGAGCGAACGGGAUUAGAUACCCCGGUAGUCCUAGCCGUAAACGAUGGGCACUUGGUGUUGGGGGUAUUGGGUCCCUCGGUGCCGGAGUUAACACGUUAAGUGCCCCGCCUGGGGAGUACGGUCGCAAGACUG
rnacentral:rRNA from 1 species